UGCGAAAGCUGAGGCCCAGGGGGAAGGGAAUGAGGACUGGUUAGUGGCUGCCCUGGGUUAGGACCCCCUUCUCUUGCUCCAGCUGUGCUCUCUUGUACCUUGCAGCCACAUCAGUGCCGUGACACCCUCAGCCCUGGGCUGGCUCAUGGUACGGAUGACAAAGGUGGCCCCGGCACAGCUCACAGCCUAACUGGCGAGAACCAGCCCUCAGCCCACCCGGCAGGCUGCAGCCACCGAGUCCGAGGCUGUGGGUCCCUGGGUCACUUCUCCUACGUACUCGCUACCAGUUGUUACAGUGAUGACAAAAGACGCUAUUUACCCAGCACCUACGAUGAGCCUGGUACGAGAAGCACCUCAAUUUACUUCAUCCUUAAAACAAGCCCACGACUCACAGAUGACAAGAAGCUGAAUCACUUGCCGGGAAAUCUGAAGACCAAGAGCCAGGAUAGGAGCUCUGGCUGUCUGACUCCAGCUCACCAUGGCAGCAGGCACUUAGGGAGGCGGGACCUCACUGUGGGAGUGCCCGACUUUGUGAAUUGUCACUUCAUGUCUUUGUAAGAAUGACAUGUGGAAGCUGGGAGAUGAGCCGAAGCACAAAGGGGGAGAAGCUGGGAAUCACAACUCAAUCCCAUGAGACCCGGGAAAAAUGCCUUUGACACCAAUUUCUUCACCACCACCCCUUGGGCAGAGAUGUCGCCAGGACCCACGGAAACAGGUAAGCAAAUUAUGGAGCACCCAGAAGAUGGAGUUGCUUGGCAGCUGUCAAAAGAGUGAAGCAGAAACAACGAGAUUAUGUCAGCAGCUCAUUUCUUCUCCAGCAGUUUCCUGCGCCGUCCGCCCUUCCCGGCCGCCUUCCUGUCGUGCCGAGAUCAUGCCUGCUCACUCCCUCUGCCCCCACACCUAGCGGAGCCUCUGGAAACCAGGGGAUGUUCCACAAAGACCUGGUGAUCUGUGGAAUGACACAGAGCUGGGGCCACGCUUUCUGUGAGAAGAAGGCCUUCUGACCUUUCUGGAUAAGCCAGUGGCAGAGUGGGGAGGGGACCCCAGGCCCCUCAGCUUCUAGCCCCACACUCCCCUGAGAACUCGGACUCUCCUCAUGCUCUUUCUUUAUUGCAACAGCCUUAACUGAAGAUUCUGCCUCUGUCUCUUCCUCUCCGUCCGUCCUCCAUGUUGCUGGCAGAAUGAUCUUCCCAAGGCACAGCAGCUCUCCUCACCCUACUCUGGGCGGUCACAGAGGGAGGUCCUCCGGCACUAGCCCAGCAGACACACACCCCUGCCCCAGCCCCAUAUUAUCCUCUGCUAAUCGUUUUUAAGAAAAAUCCUUUGCUCCAGCCCCCCUCGUGCCAGCCUGAGGCUCUGCCUUUGCCUCUGUGUAUACCAUUUUCUUCUCCUAUAAUACGCUCUCCCUUCCCUCACUCUGCUUCCCUUCUAGGACCCUUGCUCCAUACCCAACCUCUGACACCCCCUCUGGGAAGACUCCCCAGAUCACAGCCUUCCCCGCCACUCCCCUCACCCCUCUGGCUAGGAGUUCCUGGGGCACCAUGUACAGGACUGGUACCCCCACCAGGCAAGGAGAGUCAUCCCUACCGAGUCUCUCUGAGUCCCCACCCCUGUCCCCGGGGACCUGGCAUUUCCAAGGCAGCAGGUGCUCAAUAACUAUGUGAAAAAAUGAUUAAUGAGUAAACCAGAGCAACGGAUGACUCCAGGAAUAAUUUCCAAGCGAAUGAAAGAGUAGAUGAAAGAACAGCCCCGAAUCUAUGAAGGAACAAUAAUGACCAACCCGAGCUUCACUGGCCACACGUCUCUCUUCUCCAGACAAUUAAAGUCAACAAUGUGAUGUUCGUCUUGGUAAAGUGACGAGCUAAAGAUGUAAUUUCCUCAGGAUCACAUGAGUUCACCCCCAGUAGAGAAGCAGCAGCAGCAGCAGCAGCAUGUACAGAAAAGGAAACACAGCUGAUCCAUUUCAGUGGGGAGAGUGGCUGGCACCAGGGGGACCUUCUCUACAUGGAGAGGUCAAGGAGGAGAUCAAACUCCAUGCUAACUGAGGUCUCUGAAAGGAAGUGGAAAGAGAACAGCCAGCUGAGGGAUGCCAUAUAGUCUUGAAGUUGACGAUCUUGCUUUCUACUUUGCUAAGAACAUGGAAGCCAUGAGAAAACAUCCACAUCGUCCAGCCAUCAGCCACUGGCCCUUACUACACCUGCAUCCACAAAUUCUACUUUCCCCCAAUGAGCCAGUGUUUCCAGUGGUAUGUGAGGUCCAAUCCCCUCACAGACCCAAGGUCAUCGGUCCAGCAAUUUUCAUCUUCACUUCUUCUCUCUCUACGGGAUCAGUCCCAUCAAAUGAAAACAUGCCACUAUUCCUCCCAUCCUUUAAAACAAAAACAGAAAACCUUCUCAUGAUCUCAUUUCUGCUGCCAACUACUCC